UUUCUAUAUUCUGAUUUGUUAAAAAAGGCAUAACAUAAGAUGUGAAUAAUUCAGAAGGUUUUCUCAUUUUUAAGCAUGUUUUGUGGGUAUCUUUAAUUUUAAGAUGAGAUUUUUCAUUUUAGUUUGCGAACAUCUUAUUGCUACUGACAUAUAACUGUGUUACUAUCCCCAAUAUUUAUUUGUUGCUGUUGUUUUCUCAUGAAGGAAGAUUUAUCUCCACUUUAUCCUCAUAUAUAGAAAUUUUGCUUUUAUUGACAUCACCAUUGCCUUAAAAAUUUAUUUCACCAUCCAGGUUACAUUGGCCCACAUCUAAAAUGGUUGACUAUGCAGUUUCCCUUAUGGCAAGAUUUUACUCACUAGCCUAACCAACAUUGCAGCUUGUUUUGGUCCCUUCACUGCCAUUCUUCCUACAUUAACCCCUCAUGACAUCAAACACACACUCCAUGUUCUUUCUUUUUCUAUUAAAAGAGUUAUUACAUGUCAUAUCAUUAUUUUUAUGUGAAUCGUUGUGAUUAAAUAAGAUCAAUAGGUUGACGCAUGCUCAAUUGCUCAUUGAACUGCAUGCGUAUUAUCAUUUAAGGAUGAGAACUCCAUAUACUUGUCUUAUGAGUCCCUAUUAUGUUUUGUGUCAGUCGAUUAUAGAGUUCAUGCAUUUUACUAUUUUUUUAAGAAAGUAUGAAACCAGUAGGCAAUUUUAGGAAAAAAAAAUACUGGGUGCCGAAAAACUUGAUCAUGCUAUUAAUUUGUACAAUCUUGCAAAAGUUUUCUUCAGGAAUAAUGAUCUCGGAAUUAUUUUUAGAAUGACCCACUGUCUCACAUUGACGACUUGCUAUAGCGAUUGAAGUCUGCAACAAUCAUCAUGAAGUUGGAUCUUAAUUUAGUUAGCAUCUAGUGCACAUCAAUGAGAUGGAUAUAUGGAAUAUUGCUUUUGAAACUAGGCUACAAGUGGCUGGUCAUACCAUUCAGAAUUUGCAAGGCCCCAAACACUUUCAUGAGACUGAUGAAUGAUGUUAAGUGACCAUACUUGUAUGACCUCAUUAUUGUCUAUCUAGGCGAUAUUUUAUUCUUCAGCUGAUCAUGGGAAGAGCACUUGGAGCGUUUGAGGAAGGUUCGCCAUCUACUACGACAACAUAAGCUCCAUCUCAAUUGAAAGAAGUGCGAACACCAAUAAAUCCCUCAAUCUUGGAUUUGGGGUGGGCAAUGGAGAGAUCAAGAUUGAUCCUGUUGGUGAAAAUAAUAACGGAGUGACCCAUAUUGCAGAUAGUGAUUGACAUAAGAAGUUUGAUGGAGCAUGCCAAUAUGUCCGUAAGUUCAUCCUUUACCUUUCUUUACUUACCUCUUCUUUACAUGCUUUGAUUUGGGUUAAUGCCAAAUUUCAAUGGAGCCAAAAGUAAGAGGAUAAGUUUCUUUUGUGAAGAAAAAAAUAAUUUAGGCCUCUAUGUCAGGCUUGCCAAAUUUAGAACAAUCAUUCGGAUUGGAGGUAGGUUCUAGUGGUCAUGCAAUGUAGGAUACUAAUGCAGGAUGAUAAAUCCGUUGGUCACUCUGAGAUUUUCUAAGAGCUUGGAAGAGCCAUCCCAUGUACACCAAAGAGAUGUUGUUAUUGCAUUAAGUAGUAAAACAUUAACAUACUUACCUUCUUGGGAAGAGGACUGUGUUACGUACAUGUCACUUACUAUAUACCAUUUUAGUAUUUGUAGAAUAAGAUGAAGCUGCAACAAGCUCGACAAAUGAAGUGGAUGACUUAUCUCGUACAAUUCAAUAUGGUGAUUAAUUAAAAGAAACAUGCAACAAGAUGUAAGUACCUCGGAUGAUGCAUACUUUAUAUUACCUCCAAACCUGCACACAAGAAGUUGGGAUUAUACACACCAUUUCCUGUACCAAGCCGUCAAUAGAAAACAUUGCUGUAAAUUUUCUGAGAGGUUUACAAAAACUAAGAGAUGCCAUGACUACUAUGUAAUCAUGGAUAGAUUUUAAAGAAUGAUUGUAUUCAUUUCUUAAAGGCAAAUAAUCAUGGGCGAGAAGUUAGCUGGAAUCUUCUUUUAACAUGCAUGCACACUUUGGACUACCUAGUUUCGUUGCAUCUGAUUGAGAUAAUUAGUUACUGAGCGGAUUCUUGGAGAUCUCGUGGGUUAUGAUAUGUAUCAGAUUGAAGAGGAGCAUUGAAUUUUAUUCUAAAAUUGAUUAACAAAUGGAGGCCAUGAGUAGAAUCAUGGUUCACUUAAUAAAGGAGAACAAUAAUAAGAAUCCCAAAAGACCGCCACAAAGCUGCUUUGUUCUUUACCUCUCCUGCUGUUCAUGGUGGGGUUGAAGUUGAAAAAAAUGAGCUUAGUGAUUUUUUAGGGCAUUCGUAAAAUUAAUAAAUUAAUGGAGAGCAAUCUGCAAAUGCCCCAAUAUAAAUUCUAAUAAAGGCAUGAUUGUCAUAGUAUCAAAGUCAACUUCCAUGUUUGAGAUUUGUCUUUUUACAUUAAAUCAAGGAUCGCCUCAAGGGAGAAGGAAAGAAAUUGAAGCUAAUCAAGAAGUGCUUUUUAAAUUUCUAGGAUUGGAGAUAAAGUUUGCUAGUUGGAACUAUUGCUAUACAUAGAGAUAUAUUUGGUUGUAAAUGUGGAUAAAUUGAAGUUUGAACCUUCCUUGCUUAUUGGCGAGUUUGAAGAAAUUCUAUUUGCUAUGGAUGUUCUACUCUCAGAGCAUGAAUUAACUGAGGAUUUGGGCAUACUCUUGAAGCACUUGAAGCAAAAAACUACCACCAUUGGACAUGAACCAAAAGAGAUAUUUUGCAUUUACAAGAAACGCUAGAUGCUAAGCAAAGCCAAUUGAUAGGCCAAGGGAGUUGGACAGGCUGCUUUGAACUUUAAUUUCAUAAGUGUGAAAUCUUCCAAAAUGGGGGACCUAUAAUCUAACGAUAAGAUAUGGUAGGUGAUCAAUUAGAUUGUCUGUGAUCACAAUUUGAUUAUUAGGUUGUGAAAAGAUUAAAAAGUUUGUGAAAAGUUCGUGCUUGUUGUAGUUUUAAUGUCUGAUUUCUCCAAGAAAAUUGCUAGCAUUGUUGAUUCUUAGAUUACACCUUCAAUAUCAAAGAGGUUGUUGUAAGUAGACUAUAGGUGUGGCCAAAUUGUCAAUCAGACAUUACCUGGGAUAUUUUCUUGGAAGUUGGUUUGUUCGAUCAAAAUUCAGAUUACAUCACAGAAUGAUGUAGAUAAUGAUGAGUUAAAAUUUUUAAGCUUGUUUAAGCUUGUUUGGAUAUACUUGUUUUUGAAUUUGUAAUCUAUUAUUUGGAUAAUUCAUGCUGGAAUAACCUGUUAACUUUGAUCUUAUCUAGGUUGUUAUUAGGGAUAUGAUUUCCUCUUUUGCUGGAGUUUGUUUAGGAGUUGCAAUUCUGGGCGAUCCUAGCUGCUGGUAGCCUCUUUGUUUGCUUAUAUUGGAGUCGUUGCAGCUGCUACUAUUGUUGGUCGCUGCUCUGCUGUUAAGUGUUGCUGCGAACUCUAGUGAUGCUCAACGCUCUAGGAAGAAGGAAAAAGCCUUUCUGCUUACUGUGUUCACUUUAAAUACAAAAGGAAAUCUAUAUACAAUAAGGAGAAACUAAACCAACUUUUGGUGUAGAACUCAAAUAAUGUAGCAUUUCUAUUUUUUCUAGUGCUUUGUAAGACUUUGCAAGAUAAAUCUACCUUGUGGAUAAAAAACAUGAUGAAGGGAAAUGUUUGGCAGUCAUGUAAAAUCUAGUUGGUGCUGCACAUAUUUGUUAAAUGAAGCAAACAUUUGCCCAGAAUAGGUCCA